rnacentral:lncRNA from 1 species
GAUUCCAUAGGGGCAUGGCGUGGCUUGACGCGUCGACCACAUCGGCCACAUUAUUUAUUUGAGGCAAACGCCAUUAUUCGGACAAGAAUUUGAAUUAUUUCUUCAAGUGAAAGUCCACACCCUUGUCUCUGAAUGUGAGCCAGUUCUGUCCAGCUCCACUGCCUCCAAUAUGGAGAAUCCAUUCCCCUGUUCCACCUCAGCGGGAACCACAUGGAUCCAUUUCAACUCCGUCCAAAGACUCCUCAAAAGUUAGUCUGACCCUAAACGUUCCAUAUGACAAGCCAAAAACUUUACUAACUGCAAUUAUUGUGGUUUUUGUUUGUGUGCUCUAGUUGCAGGCAUUGUCUGUGUGGAAAAUUUGACUAGCUGUGAUUGCUGAUUAAAUUGUUAAAUACUCCUUUAUGAAAA